CGGUCACUCAGCUCUGGUCACUCUGAGGUCAGUGCAGUCACUCAGCGGUCACUCAGCGGUCACUCAGCGGUCACUCAGCGGUCAGUCUGUGGUCAUUCAGCGCCGGUAACUCAGCGGUCACUCUGUGGUCACUCAGCGGUCACUCCGAGGUCAGUCCGUGGUCAUUCAGCGCCAGUCACUCUGUGGUCACUCAGCGGUCACUCUAUGGUCACUUGGUGCUGGUCACUCUGAUGUCACUCUGAGGUCACCCACUGGUCACUCUGUGGUCACUUAGCGGUCACUCCGUGGUCACUCAGCGGUCACUCAGCUCUGGUCACUCUGAGGUCAGUGCAGUCACAGCACCGGUCACUCAUCGGUCACUCAUUGGUCACUUGGGACACUCAGCGGUCAGUAGUCACUCCGUGGUCACUCAGCGGUCACUGUGUGAUAACUCAGCGGUCACUUGGUCACUCAGUGGUCACUCAAGGUUUCUCAUUGGUCACUCGGGACACUCAGCGGUCAGCGGUCACUCCGUGGUCACUCAGCGGUCACUCUGACGUCGCUCUGAGGUCACUCAGCACCGGUCACUCAGUGGUCACUCCGUGGUCACUCAGGGUCACUCAUUGAUCACUCAUUGGUCACUCAGCGGUCAGUCGGUCAGUGGUCACUCUGUGGUCACUCAGUGGUCACUUCUCAGUGGUCACUCAUUGAUCACUCAUUGGUCACUUAGGGUCACUCAUUGAUCACUCAGUGGUCACUCAGGGUCACUCAGGGUCACUCAUUGAUCACUCAUUGGUCACUCAGCGGUCAGUUGGUCAGUGGUCACUCAGGGUCACUCAGUGGUCACUCAUUGAUCACUCAUUGAUCACUCAGCGGUCAGUUGGUCAGUGGUCACUCCGUGGUCACUCAGGGGUCACUCAGGGUCACUCAUUGAUCACUCAUUGGUCACUCAUUGGUCACUCAGCGGUCAGUCGGUCAGUGGUCACUCAGUGGUCACUCAGGGUCACUCAUUGGUCACUCAGGGGUCACUCAGCGGUCAGUUGGUCAGUGGUCACUCAGGGUCACUCAGGGUCACUCAUUGAUCACUCAUUGAUCACUCAGGGGUCACUCAGGGUCACCCAUUGGUCACUCACUGGUCACUGGGCACUCAGGGUCACUCAAGGGUCACUCAUUGAUCACUCAGGGGUCACUCAGCGGUCAGUCGGUCAGUGGUCACUCAGUGGUCACUCAGUGGUCACUCAUGGCUCCGGCCGUGCUGCUGCUGCUGCUGCUCCUCCGGGCGGGGGCGGCCUGGGGGGAGCCCCCGGAGCUUCC
rnacentral:lncRNA from 1 species